rnacentral:rRNA from 1 species
GCCAGACUCCUACGGGAGGCAGCAGUGGGGGAUAUUGCACAAUGGGGGGAACCCUGAUGCAGCGACGCCGCGUGGGUGAAGGAGCGUUUCGGCGCGUAAAGCCCUAUCGGCAGGGAAGAAGGAGGACGGUACCUGACUAAGAAGCCCCGGCUAACUACGUGCCAGCAGCCGCGGUAAUACGUAGGGGGCAAGCGUUAUCCGGAUUUACUGGGUGUAAAGGGGGCGCAGACGGCAGCGCAAGCCAGGAGUGAAAGCCCGGGGCCCAACCCCGGGACUGCUCUUGGAACUGCGCGGCUGGAGUGCAGGAGGGGCAGGCGGAAUUCCUGGUGUAGCGGUGAAAUGCGUAGAUAUCAGGAGGAACACCGGUGGCGAAGGCGGCCUGCUGGACAGCAACUGACGCUGAGGCGCGAAAGCGUGGGGAGCAAACAGGAUUAGAUACCCGAGUAUC